UCCUGGCUCAGAUUGAACGCUGGCGGCAUGCUUUACACAUGCAAGUCGAACGGCAGCGGGGAGGAGCUUGCUUCUCUGCCGGCGAGUGGCGAACGGGUGAGUAAUACAUCGGAACGUGUCGAGAAGAGGGGGAUAACCACCCGAAAGGGUGGCUAAUACCGCAUAAAUUCUGAGGAAGAAAGCUGGGGACCUGGGAAUAGGCCUAGCGCUUUUUGAGCGGCCGAUGUCGGAUUAGCUAGUUGGUGAGGUAAAGGCUCACCAAGGCGAAGAUCUGUAGCGGGUCUGAGAGGAUGAUCCGCCACACUGGGACUGAGACACGGCCCAGACUCCUACGGGAGGCAGCAGUGGGGAAUUUUGGACAAUGGGGGCAACCCUGAUCCAGCCAUGCCGCGUGUAUGAAGAAGGCCUUAGGGUUGUAAAGCACUUUUGUUAGGGAAGAAAAGUCAGCUGUGAAUAAUGGCUGAUACUGACGGUACCUAAAGAAUAAGCACCGGCUAACUACGUGCCAGCAGCCGCGGUAAUACGUAGGGUGCGAGCGUUAAUCGGAAUUAUUGGGCGUAAAGCGAGUGUAGACGGUUAUUUAAGCCAGAUGUGAAAUACCCGAGCCUAACUUGGGAGGUGCAUAUGGAACUGGGUAGCUAGAGUGUGUCAGAGGGAGGUAGAACUCCACGUGUAGCAGUGAAAUGCGUAGAGAUGUGGAAGAAUACCGAUGGCGAAGGCAGCCUCCUGGGAUAACACUGACGUUGAGGCUCGAAAGCGUGGGGAGCAAACAGGAUUAGAUACCUGUAG
rnacentral:rRNA from 1 species